CCUCACCCUUCACAUUACCCUCUCUCUCUCUCUCUCUCUCUCUCUCUCCUUCCGAAUGUGUUGAUUUGGUUUAAAACAAUAGAACUUCAAAAAUCACGAUUUGGUUCCUCGACAUUCAAAUCGUCACCAGAUCGAUAUCAAAUUGAUUUAGUCUUCAAGGGAGGAAAUAGAAUAUCGACAAUGGUGGAGGCGAUGAGGGUGGGGGGAAUGGAUUUAAGUUUCGAAAUCGGGUUUAAAGGUAGGGGAACAUAUGCCAUUCUUGAAGCUGAUGAAUAUCAAUCCAUCAAAGAUUAACAAUUUCGUUAGAUCCUCAAGAAAAAUCACAAAACUGUUGUGAGCGGCAACCCUGCUGCCCAUAACAUUAACGCACCACCGUUGGACGGUUUUUUUUACAAUCUGGAAAUAUGGAGGUCACUAAGGUAUAGUUUACUAUUUUAACAUAAUUUUCUUUCAAUUUCUUACAGAAAAAAUAUCAUUUUUCAUGCUCCCAUAUAUAUUCCUUGAUUUUAUACUUAAUUUUAUCCAUUAUGAUAAGGGAUUCAAUCCAUUAUGAUAAAGGAUAUAUGUUUCGAAGUUUUUGUGUGCUUUUAGACUAGUUAAUGUCACUCUACCUAAAUGUAAUGUUUCUAAGCCCUUGACCCAACUGUUCUUCCACACUUGAACACCUUGCUUCAGUUGGAUCAUUAAAUCUAUCGAAAAUUAAAUAUCCUCAUAAUCAUCAUACAAGUCUCUCCUAAUCAUCAUAAAAGUCUGGUAAGUUGAUUUAAAAGGUUGAAAAAAAAUAUCAUCUAAUUUCUCUUUGGUUUAAAGCCUCAAAGGUAUACUCAAAUUAUUUCAUGUUAUGUAAUUUUUUGGUUCUGGUUGAAUGGUUUUGGUGAAUUUUAUUUAUAUAUCUUAGCCAUACUCAAAUUCUGAUUAGUAAAUGAUUCAUGUAGAUAUCGGUCAGCUGAAGAGCACAAGUUAUUAAUGAAGAUUGGUACGGAUCCUAAUAUAUCAAUAGUUUUGUUGACGGUGCUGUAAAAACAUGAGGGGAUAUGUUGUCUUUUUUGUUAAUCCUUCUAACAAUAAGGUAAUUACAUAUUGAUUCAAUCCCUUUCAUUUGUUAUCAAUCUGAGUCAUUUUAAUAUGUGCGUAACUUUAAAUUACUCAUUAUUUGUGUUUUUAUUUUUGAUAGGGCCAAUCAUCCAAAGAGCUACAUAUCAAGUAUUGAUGACUAGGAGCAGAAUCCACAUGGGUGUUGGGUUGAUUCCUCUAAAUGCAUCAUAUUCAUAUGGAUCACUAACUAACCACCAUGUAUGUAUAUAUUUCUAAUUUCUUUUCUUGGAAAGUUCUUGUGUUAAUUUACUAAUUUUUCCAUUAUCACAGCCAGUGGGAUUAUUAAUAAAAACUUAAGGUAAUCUAAACCUGGUUUUUCUUAGUAUUGGAUUUUAUUUGUUAAAUUCAUGUUUAAUUUUACCUUACUGGGAAUGAUUUUUUUUCCAGCUUGCAUCUUUAUCUUUUAUGUGUUUUUAUAGAUUAACUAAUGACAGAUAUAGACUAUUAUACCAAACAUUAUUAAAACAUGUCAUUUUUGUGAAAUUUAAUGGUUAAAAAUAUGUUACCUUUACGUUUUUAACUAAUAUGUUAGUCGAACAUUCAGUUAGAACAUGCAUAAAAUCAAUCUAUAAAAGUAUGGUGAGGGUAAUUAUGUCAGAAUUGAAUCUUGAAUUUCAAUUAUGUCGGAAUGGAAUCACGAUUUUCGAUUCUAUGGGAAUUGGAUCUCGGUAUUUCCUGUGUUUUGUGUAUUUUCUAUAAUUAUUGGUUAUGCAUUUUUUGGUGCAAUUCACAAGUCUGUAGAUUUGUACAAAUGAAUUUAGUUUUUUAUUCAUUUGGUAAUGAAUUAUUCUUUUAGAAUGACUUGAAGAAGGAAUCACUGAUUGACCAUACAAGAGAAAGACUUGGAAUUGAGUUCAAUAACAAGUUACAUUGAAGAAGAUUAAGUGUAAACAAGUCGAUUAUUUGGACCAUUGAAGAAGAUUAAGUGUAUUUGUUCAAUAAUUGUAUAUUUGAGAAUGCUAAUCUUAAGAACUUUAUUCAUUUUGAUGAUACUUUGUUAGAAUAUUUACAAUUAUAUUAAAAUGUAUCAGUCUGUAAGAAUAUUUAUAAAUUUGUAUUUAAGUUUGGACGUGUACGAAUAUAUUA
rnacentral:lncRNA from 1 species